GACUCGGUGGCGGAUGGACCGCGCCCGUAAUCCAUGAAUAGCACAACAGUAUGUGUAGUGGGAGGCGCUUGUUCGAAUCAGGCCCGAGUCA